CGGGAGGAAGGGGAGGGCCGUGAAGGAGCGCAGAGUGUGGUGGGCGUGGGGAGCUGCAUGAGGGGAGGGGAGUGGAGGAACGCACAGAGUGAUGUGCGUGGCAACCGGCAUGAUGGAGGAAAGGGUUGAUACACUGGUGCUCUCCUAAGCGCUAUAAGCAGCAGUGACUGUGACUCCUUUCAGCCCUCAGGCCAUGGAGCAGCUGGCCUGCCGCUGCAAUUUGCUCUUGCCCUGAAUAUUUGGGGCGGGACCUUCAGCCUGCGUGAGGCCUGAAGAGGAUGUUCCUGCCACAGAAGGCAUCCAAGUCUUAUGGCAGGCACCGCUGUCACGCUCAGACUUCUCAGACUUGGUCUCAGGCUCAGCUGCUGUCUCUAUGGGGCGGCUGUGGACUCUUCAGAGAUGUCCCCGUCUCAACCAGAAUGUCCACAAUGUUUUAGGAAUCAGCGACCUUCAUGGAUGUGGUUGUGGACUUCACCCAGGAAGAAUAGGCCUUGGUGGGCGCAUCCCAGCGAAAGCUAUACAGAGAUGUGAUGCUGGAGAACAUCAGUCAUCUUCUCUCUGUUGUUGAGUCUGUCAACAAGGACUUAUUUACUCAAGUAUCCAGGGAAGUUUCCACAUAUCAUGCUCCCCUCUCAGCUCUCAUUUUUAUUCUUUCAUAACACAACUACGAGAAGGUAAUUCUGUUUAUUUAUUGAUUUAGUGACAUGUAAUUUGUCCCUUCACUAGAAUAUAGUCUUCUUGACCACAAUUUUAUGUUUUUGUUGUUGCUCUAUUGCCAGCACCCAGAACAGUGCUGAAAACUCAAUGGAUUUUUUUAAAAUAACUAAACAAUAAGAUUAAACAAUUCCUAAGUAAUUAUUCUGUUCUAAGCAGCAAUCCCAGAGUUUGAGACCACAGUAGAAAAAAUACCAGGCAGGCAUAAACUUAGGUUAUUCCGGAUUAACUAGAAACAUUUAAUUCCUCCCUUGUUGAAAACACUGGGGAUCUUUACUCUGUGAGCUUGCUCGUGGACAUCCACGAGUUCCUCAAUGCUUUGGGCUUGGUGUCACGGUGUUCCUCCUGCUCUGCUCAAGGACUUACAAGAUUUUCUUUAAUGCUCACUUAGUUGUUCAUUGAGAUCCUGUCCUUGACUUGAGGAAUAUGUACGGUUCUUAAAACACAGUUCAAAAUUCAAGUGGCUUUUUCCCAUGAACAGGGUGGCAACUCCACAAAUAAGACACAAUUUCCCAUUGGAGCAAGGAGAGGAGUUGUGGAGGGAAGAAAGGGGAUUCCCACAAGGCCUGAAGCUGGGUAAGCUCCAGGCAUGUGUGUUCACUAUGAGGAGAAGCCUAGUCAGUGAGGGAUUAGGACCUUGGUAAUGCCAACUGCAGGUUUCCUUAAGUCAAUGGUCUUUUCAGGAAAGUAUGAGAAUCCAGUGGGGAAAAAUUCUCAAUGUUGUCAUUAUUCCUAGCAUUUGUCAAUGUCUUUUAUUUAUAGUUUAUGUCCUCUUUGGAUCAAAAGUUUCAUAUUGUGAACUUUGCCCUCAUCCCUU
rnacentral:lncRNA from 1 species